rnacentral:rRNA from 1 species
GAUGAACGCUGGCGGCGUGCCUAAUACAUGCAAGUCGAGCGAACAGACGAGGAGCUUGCUCCUCUGACGUUAGCGGCGGACGGGUGAGUAACACGUGGAUAACCUACCUAUAAGACUGGGAUAACUUCGGGAAACCGGAGCUAAUACCGGAUAAUAUAUUGAACCGCAUGGUUCAAUAGUGAAAGACGGUUUUGCUGUCACUUAUAGAUGGAUCCGCGCCGCAUUAGCUAGUUGGUAAGGUAACGGCUUACCAAGGCAACGAUGCGUAGCCGACCUGAGAGGGUGAUCGGCCACACUGGAACUGUGACCCGGUCCAGACUCCUACGGGAGGCAGCAGUAGGGAAUCUUCCGCAAUGGGCGAAAGCCUGACGGAGCAACGCCGCGUGAGUGAUGAAGGUCUUCGGAUCGUAAAACUCUGUUAUUAGGGAAGAACAAAUGUGUAAGUAACUAUGCACGUCUUGACGGUACCUAAUCAGAAAGCCACGGCUAACUACGUG